rnacentral:rRNA from 1 species
GAUGAACGCUGGCGGCGUGCCUAAUACAUGCAAGUCGAGCGAACAGACGAGGAGCUUGCUCCUCUGACGUUAGCGGCGGACGGGUGAGUAACACGUGGAUAACCUACCUAUAAGACUGGGAUAACUUCGGGAAACCGUAGCUAAUACCGGAUAAUAUAUUGAACCGCAUGGUUCAAUAGUGAAAGACGGUUUUGCUGUCACUUAUAGAUGGAUCCGCACCGCAUUAGCUAGUUGGUAAGGUAACGGCUUACCAAGGCAACGAUGCGUAGCCGACCUGAGAGGGUGAUCGGCCACACUGGAACUGAGACACGGUCCAGACUCCUAAGGGAGGCAGCAGUAGGGAAUCUUGCGCAAUGGGCGAAAGCCUGACGGAGCAAAGCCGCGUGAGUGAUGAAGGUCUUCGGAUCGUAAAACUCUGUUAUUAGGGAAGAACAAAUGUGUAAGUAAAUAUGCACGUCUUGACGGUACCUAAUCAGAAAGCCACGGCUAACUACGUG